CCGGCCCUGUUUGAACUCCACUGCCCUGCAUCCAGGUACAUAGAUAUCAGUCCCCCCAACCCUCCCAUUUAAAGGCUAGGGAAUUUUUAAAAUUCCACUUCCUCUUUGCUCGGCAUGGACGACUCACAUCGCAUCUUCCCAGCUGACCAGGACGGCUCCAUGCAGUAAAUGAUCUCCCUGAGUUAUUGGAUCUGCUGGCAGUGUGGGGAGAGGAGGCUGCACAGACCCAGCUCCUCUUCAGCCAUAGGGACAUUGAUACCUAUGGUCAGAUUUCUCAUGGCAUGUUGGAGAAGGGCUACGAACGGGACACACAGCAGUGCCAUGUGAAGAUGAAGGAGCUGAGGCAGGUGUACCAGAAGGCAAGGGAGUCAAACCAUCACUCAGGUGCUGUGCCAAAGAGCUGCUGCUUCUAUAAGGAGCUGGAUGCCAUCCUCAGCAGCAACCCUGCUCCCACUGCCAGGAUACUUUGGCGGGGCUGGUGAUGGUGGAGAGCGGACUCAACCCCGAGGACAAAGUCAUGGAUGAGGAGGUUGAGUAGGAGGAUGAUGUGGCGCACACAGCAGGGUGUCUGGUGGUGCGGCGAGCCAGGACAUCUUUUCCACUCCGGAUGGGUCUAGCCAGUCCCAGCAUUCCGUCUCUGGCAUGCAUGAUGCAGGAGAGGAGAGCUGUGAUGUGGCCUUCAGGGGGAACCCCCUACAUGCUGGCAGAGCGCCUCCGCCAUAUAGGAAGUGACCAAGGAGGAUGUGUUUUGAGAGGUGCUCCAAUCCUCAGAGGCCAAAAAACAAGAAUGCAAGGUGUGGAAAGAGACUUUAAAAGAGAAUUCUAAAAUUGAGAGGCGGGACAGUGCGCUGCUCUCUCUGCCAAUGUUAGAGCACCAACGAUGGACCUGCUCUGCCGACAGAAGGAACGUUGUGAACAUGCACAAACCAUGUGCCUUACAAAGCAAGCAUCAUUCUUUCCACGCUACAGAUGAGAAAGCUGAGGCCAGAGGUGGACUUGCCCAGCAUCACACAGCAGACCAAUGGCAGACAGUUUCUUGCUAAGAAACACGACAGGAU